AACGAACGCUGGCGGCAGGCUUAACACAUGCAAGUCGAGCGCCCCGCAAGGGAGCGGCAGACGGGUGAGUAACGCGUGGGAAUCUACCCAGUUCUACGGAAUAACACAGGGAAACUUGUGCUAAUACCGUAUACGCCCUACGGGGGAAAGAUUUAUCGGAAUUGGAUGAGCCCGCGUUGGAUUAGCUAGUUGGUGGGGUAAUGGCCUACCAAGGCGACGAUCCAUAGCUGGUCUGAGAGGAUGAUCAGCCACACUGGGACUGAGACACGGCCCAGACUCCUACGGGAGGCAGCAGUGGGGAAUAUUGGACAAUGGGCGAAAGCCUGAUCCAGCCAUGCCGCGUGAGUGAUGAAGGCCCUAGGGUUGUAAAGACGUCUUUCAGUGGGGAAGAUAAUGACGGUACCACCGAAGAAGCCCGGCUAACUUCGUGCCGAGCAGCCGCGGUAAU
rnacentral:rRNA from 1 species